AUGGCUAUAUCAUGUCAAAACAUUGGGUCUCAUAUGAUCACUGAAGUUAAGUAACAUCAUACUUGGUCAGUACCAAGAUGGGUAACUACUUGGGAAUACCAGGUGCUGUAAG